GGUGAUGGUGCAAAGGACAGGUGAUGGUGCCAGGGACAGGUGAGGAGGAGGUGAUGGUGCAAAGGACAAGGUGAUGGUGCCAGGGACAGGGGAUGGUGCCAGGGACAGGUAAUGGUGCAAAGGACAGGGGAUGGUGCAAAGGACAGGGGAUGGUGCAAAGGACAGGUGAUGGUGCCAGGGACAGGUGAUGGUGCCAGGGACAGAUGAUGGUGCAAAGGACAGGUGAUAGUGCCAGAGACAGGUGAGGGACAGGUGAUGGUGCAAAGGACAGGGGAUGGUGCCAGGGACAAGUGAUGGUGCAAAGGACAGGUGAUGGUGCCAGGGACAGGUGAUGGUGCAAAGGACAGGGGAUGGUGCAAAGGACAGGUGAUGGUGCCAGAGACAGGUGAUGGUGCAAAGGACAGGUGAUGGUGUAAAGGAGAGGUGAUAGUGCA